rnacentral:rRNA from 1 species
CAGUUCGGAUUGCAGGCUGCAACUCGCCUGCAUGAAGCUGGAAUUGCUAGUAAUCGCGGAUCAGCAAGCCGCGGUGAAUACGUUCCCGGGCCUUGUACACACCGCCCGUCACACCAUGAGAGUCGGGAACACCCGAAGUCCGUAGUCUAACCGCAAGGGGGGCGCGGCCGAAGGUGGGUCCGGUAAUUGGGGUGAAGUCGUAACAAGGUACC